rnacentral:rRNA from 1 species
GAUGAACGCUGGCGGCGUGCCUAAUACAUGCAAGUCGAGCGAACGGACGAGAAGCUUGCUUCUCUGAUGUUAGCGGCGGACGGGUGAGUAACACGUGGAUAACCUACCUAUAAGACUGGGAUAACUUCGGGAAACCGGAGCUAAUACCGGAUAAUAUUUUGAACCGCAUGGUUCAAAAGUGAAAGACGGUCUUGCUGUCACUUAUAGAUGGAUCCGCGCUGCAUUAGCUAGUUGGUAAGGUAACGGCUUACCAAGGCAACGAUGCAUAGCCGACCUGAGAGGGUGAUCGGCCACACUGGAACUGAGACACGGUCCAGACUCCUACGGGAGGCAGCAGUAGGGAAUCUUCCGCAAUGGGCGAAAGCCUGACGGAGCAACGCCGCGUGAGUGAUGAAGGUCUUCGGAUCGUAAAACUCUGUUAUUAGGGAAGAACAUAUGUGUAAGUAACUGUGCACAUCUUGACGGUACCUAAUCAGAAAGCCACGGCUAACUACGUGCCAGCAGCCGCGGUAAUACGUAAGUGGCAAGCGUUAUCCGGAAUUAUUGGGCGUAAGCGCGCGUAGGCGGUUUUUUAGUCUGAUGUGAAAGCCCACGGCUCAACCGUGGAGGGUCAUUGGAAACUGGAAAACUUGAGUGCAGAAGAGGAAGGUGGAAUUCCAUGUGUAGCGGUGAAAUGCGCAGAGAUAUGGAGGAACACCAGUGGCGAAGGCGACUUUCUGGUCUGUAACUGACGCUGAUGUGCGAAAGCGUGGGGAUCAAACAGGAUUAGAUACCCUGGUAGUCCACGCCGUAAACGAUGAGUGCUAAGUGUUAGGGGGUUUCCGCCCCUUAGUGCUGCAGCUAACGCAUUAAGCACUCCGCCUGGGGAGUACGACCGCAAGGUUGAAACUCAAAGGAAUUGACGGGGACCCGCACAAGCGGUGGAGCAUGUGGUUUAAUUCGAAGCAACGCGAAGAACCUUACCAAAUCUUGACAUCCUUUGACAACUCUAGAGAUAGAGCCUUCCCCUUCGGGGGACAAAGUGACAGGUGGUGCAUGGUUGUCGUCAGCUCGUGUCGUGAGAUGUUGGGUUAAGUCCCGCAACGAGCGCAACCCUUAAGCUUAGUUGCCAUCAUUAAGUUGGGCACUCUAAGUUGACUGCCGGUGACAAACCGGAGGAAGGUGGGGAUGACGUCAAAUCAUCAUGCCCCUUAUGAUUUGGGCUACACACGUGCUACAAUGGACAAUACAAAGGGCAGCGAAACCGCGAGGUCAAGCAAAUCCCAUAAAGUUGUUCUCAGUUCGGAUUGUAGUCUGCAACUCGACUACAUGAAGCUGGAAUCGCUAGUAAUCGUAGAUCAGCAUGCUACGGUGAAUACGUUCCCGGGUCU